UACGAAGGGGGCUAGCGUUGCUCGGAAUCACUGGGCGUAAAGCGCACGUAGGCGGACUCUUAAGUCGGGGGUGAAAGCCCGGGGCUCAACCCCGGAACUGCCUUUGAAACUAGGUAGCUAGAAUCUUGGAGAGGUCAGUGGAAUUCCGAGUGUAGAGGUGAAAUUCGUAGAUAUUCGGAAGAACACCAGUGGCGAAGGCGACUGACUGGACAAGUAUUGACGCUGAGGUGCGAAAGCGUGGGGAGCAAACAGG
rnacentral:rRNA from 1 species